rnacentral:rRNA from 1 species
GACGAACGCUGGCGGCGUGCUUAACACAUGCAAGUCGAACGAAGUGGCGAACGGGUGAGUAAUACGAGGGUAACCUGCCCUCCUUUUUGGGAUAAGCCUUGAAAACGGGGUCUAAUACCGAAUAAAGGGGGUUGGGCUCGCGGCCGUUCGGCUUGUUGGUGGGGUGAUGGCCUAACAAGGCGGUGACGGGUAGCCGGCCUGAGAGGGGAACCGGGCACAUGGGGACUGAGAUACGGCCCAGAGUACUACGGGGGGGAGAAGUGGGGGAUAUUGCACAAUGGGCGAAAGACUGAUGCAGCGAGGCCGCGUGGGGGAGGAAGGCUUUAGGGUUGUAAACCUAUUUCGCUAUCGAAAGGGUAGGUGGAGAAGAAGCGCCGGCUAACUACGUGCCAGCAGCCGCGGUAAUAC